rnacentral:rRNA from 1 species
UACGUAGGGCGCAAGCGUUAUCCGGAAUUAUUGGGCGUAAAGAGCUCGUAGGCGGUUUGUCGCGUCUGCCGUGAAAGUCCGGGGCUCAACUCCGGAUCUGCGGUGGGUACGGGCAGACUAGAGUGAUGUAGGGGGAGACUGGAAUUCCUGGUGUAGCGGUGAAAUGCGCAGAUAUCAGGAGGAACACCGAUGGCGAAGGCAGGUCUCUGGCUGACACUGACGCUCGAUGCACGAAGCGCGGGAGCGAAACA